GUUCAUGGUCGCUGACAUGCAUUGGACGCACCCAGUGAUGGGGAGUGCUGGUGGACAGGAUCUGCGCGUCCUAUCAGAAAGUGAGUCAGACCUUCGGCAGUGAGCCAGUCAAAGAAAUGAGUGAAGCGAUAGUGCCCGUCAUCCUGUCUAUCCUCCGCCAGCCCAGCGUAAAAGAGACGGAGAGCGGAAAAGAACAACGACGAA